CUCCUCAACCACUUGAAGUUAGAGAUAUUAACAUAAAUUUGUUCGGAGUACAAAUCAAGGUCAGUAUCUGGUAUAAUAUGUGGAUUCUACAUCAAGUGAGCUUCCAUUCAGAGGGACAUAUUACUUUAACUUCUCAGAGAAUGGGCAAGAAAUAUUCUCCAGGAGUGAGGGGGAGAGCGUGGGAGAGGGAGCGGGGAGACCGAGGGAGCAGGAGCAGGAGAGAGUGCCCGUCAGUCAUAUCCUCCUCAAGAGGCUGACCAGUGUGUUCCUCAUGGCUCUCUCCAAUUUGCUUCCUGCAUGCAAGUCUCCAUCUCUGAGCCUUUGUGCAAAAACUCAGUCUGCAAAUGGCUCUGAAGAUCAAGCAAAAACCAGAUAAAUAAAUAAUCAGCCCGAAA